UGGGGAAUAUUGGACAAUGGGGGGAACCCUGAUCCAGCCAUGCCGCGUGUGUGAAGAAGGCCUUAUGGUUGUAAAGCACUUUAAGCGAGGAGGAGGGUACUGGUAUUAAUACUACCAGGUACUGGACGUUACUCGCAGAAUAAGCACCGGCUAACUCUGUGCCAGCAGCCGCGGUAAUACAGAGGGUGCGAGCGUUAAUCGGAUUUACUGGGCGUAAAGCGUGCGUAGGCGGCUAAUUGAGUCGGAUGUGAAAUCCCCGAGCUUAACUUGGGAAUUGCAUUCGAUGCUGGUUAGCUAGAGUGUGGGAGAGGAUGGUAGAAUUCCAGGUGUAGCGGAGAAAUGCGUAGAGAUCUGGAGGAAUACCGAUGGCGAAGGCAGCCAUCUGGCCUAACACUGACGCUGAGGUACGAAAGCAUGGGGAGCAAACAGG
rnacentral:rRNA from 1 species